UACGUAGGGUGCGAGCGUUGUCCGGAAUUACUGGGCGUAAAGAGCUCGUAGGUGGUUUGUCGCGUUGUUCGUGAAAACUCACAACUCAAUUGUGGGCGUGCGGGCGAUACGGGCAGACUGGAGUACUGCAGGGGAGACUGGAAUUCCUGGUGUAGCGGUGGAAUGCGCAGAUAUCAGGAGGAACACCUAUGGCGAAGGCAGCUCGCUGGGACGGUACUGACGCUGAGGCGCGAAAGCGUGGGGAGCGAACAGG
rnacentral:rRNA from 1 species